rnacentral:lncRNA from 1 species
UAUACUAUAUCCUCUAAAGUGUGAUAAUUUCUGAUGGUUUAGUCCAAAUAUCUUAAGACUUGAUAUGUGAAUUUAUAAUAUAUUGUCUUUACUAAGACACACAAACUUUCUGAAAAAAAUAUAAAAGCACUGACAUCUAAGUUUUACCCAGAAAUCCAAUGAUUAUAUAAUGUUACGAUAUAAAAUAUGGUGCCUUUAGCACUAUCAAAUCACCAUUUCCUAUGAAUACUAAUCUGUCUAAUGAAGUCAUACUUCAAGUUGAAGAACAUAAAAUUAUAUUAAAAAGAAUACAGAGACUUUCAAAAGAAAUGUGAAGGAAAGAUUUUACUUUUCAUUAAAGAAAUACUGUGCUAGAAAUGCUGAUUGUUCUAUAUAAAUCAUACAACUGCUCUCCUUGAAGCUAUUUGGGUUUACAGCUGACUUGCUCAGAGAGCAUACUAAUUAAACUACACAGUUGUAUUAUGAGGAAAUAAAAACAGAUGCUUAUAAAAUCCUGAUCAAAAAGAAUAUUUACAGUCUACUUAAUCUUUCAUCUCCUCCAUAUCCUACUUUCUACAGUCUAAAUUUGUCAUGAGCUGUAAAAAAUGAUCAUGAUUAAAAUAUGAGGGGUUUUUUCAUGUGAAGAUGGAGGUGAAAGAAUAAUAUACCAAGGCUAUAAGACUUAACAAACAUUCCCCUUUGUUUUUUCUCUUUAUAAAGAGCAUGACUUUGUUCACUACUGUCCCAUCAUUCACAAUUCUAUAGCCCAUAAUAGCACUCCAACAGAAACCAGUAAGUUUGGAGUAUUAAAUGGCAAUAAGAAAUAUGAUAUAGGUUGCUAAUUCCAUCUCUGGAAAUAUAUCCCCUUUAUUAAAUAAGUGUCCAACUUCGGUUUCUGUAGGAAGAAAUUGUAAGAACGGCACUACAGACAAAUUAACUUCCUUCAAUAAUCAUUUAUUGGGUUCUUAACAAAUAUGUGUGCUGUGGCCUGCACCACAUGAAUUACAGAGUAUGUCUACCUCAACUUGUAAAAUGAAAACAAGUACAAAUUUGAUUCUAGCCCUAAUGAGAUAAUUUCAAUAAGAAAACAAGUAUCUCAGGUUUCCAGAAAAAUAAGAUGUUAGUGUAAUAUGGAAAUAUCAGGGCAAACUAUCCCCAUAUCAUUUCUCUACAUUUGUUGAUAACCCCACACCUCCAUCCUUAGACCACCUUUAGUUUACUGGAGAAACUCAAUUGAACUAGUAAAUAUAUUGCCAUUCUCAGCUCCAUGAUAUAAAAGGUCUUUUUAAAAUAAGGAUCCCCAAAUCUCUGGAAUGUGUUAUGUUCCCAAACUGAUAUCUCUGUUAAUCUAUUAUGUUCAGUUUAUAAUCAAGAUAUCAAUGUUUCUGAAAUGAUGAAUUAUAUGUUCAUCAACUAACAGGGAUACAGAAUUGCAAGAUAUUAGAAAGCAUUUCUCUGUAUCGUACUGUCUUGUUUCUGGAACAUGCUCACAUUUGGAUUGAUAAAUUAAGUAAAGCAGUAAGCCUUUAUCAAUAUGAGUAGGCAUAAUACAGUUUCUUAUAUCAAAUGAUACAAUAAGGCACAGAAAGAGUCAAUUCACUCUUUUUUCAUGAGCCUUGAGGCAUCUACCUUCUCCUGCAAUUAUACAUUGGUAAUCCUGAGUGCUAAGAUUUUGGACACAGAUCAAGAACUGUACCAGUGCCCUCUUGGUCACUCUCUCAGACUUCUGUGCUUGAUCUAAGUUACACCACAGGCUUUCAGUUUCUCCAUGUUUAAGGUUGAAGACCACAGGAUGUCUGUGCUUUACUCAGUAAGCACAUGAGCUAGUUGGUAUCAUUAAUAUAUUAUGUAGUUAUUUAUAUUUCCUUGAUAUAUUUGUUUUCAAUUACAAUUGCAGAAUUGCUUCAACUAUCUUACAAAAUUUACUUCUUUAUAGAGCACAGAACAGGAUACCAUCC